rnacentral:rRNA from 1 species
UUGGAGGGCAAGUCUGGUGCCAGCAGCCGCGGUAACUCCAGCUCCAAUAGCGUAUAUUAAAGUUGUUGCAGUUAAAAAGCUCGUAGUUGAAUUUCGGGGUUCAUACGUUGGUCGGGCUUUUUGGUCUGUACUAGCGUAAUGGAUUCCUACCUUCUGAAUAACCGGCAUGCCAUUAAUUUGGUGCGCCGGGGAAGCAGGACUGUUACCUUGAAAAAAUUAGAGUGCUUAAAGCAGGCUAUCGCCUGAAUACAUUAGCAUGGAAUAAUGAAAUAGGACGGCAUGGUUCUAUUUUGUUGGUUUCUAGGAUCACCGUAAUGAUUAAUAGGGAUAGUUGGGGGCAUUAGUAUUCAAUUGUCAGAGGUGAAAUUCUUGGAUUUAUUGAAGACUAACUUCUGCGAAAGCAUUUGCCAAGGAUGUUUUCAUUAAUCAAGAACGAAAGUUAGGGGAUCGAAGACGAUCAGAUACCGUCGUAGUCUUAACCAUAAACUAUGCCGACUAGGGAUCGGACGAUGUUAAUUUUUUAAUGACUCGUUCGGCGCCUUACGGGAAAC